GUGAGGAAUUUUUCGCAAUGGGCGAAAGCCUGACGGAGCAAUGCCGCGUGAAGGAUGAAGGCCUAUGGGUUGUAAACUUCUUUUCUCAGAAAAGAAUUAUGACGGUAUCUGAGGAAUAAGCAUCGGCUAACUCUGUGCCAGCAGCCGCGGUAAGACAGAGGAUGCAAGCGUUAUCCGGAAUGAUUGGGCGUAAAGCGUCUGUAGGUUGUUUAAAAAGUAUUCUGUCAAAGAUUAGGGCUUAACCCUAGAUAGGCAGAAUAAACUUUUAAGCUAGAGUUUGGUAGAGGCAGAGGGAAUUCCCGGUGGAGCGGUGAAGUGCGUAGAUAUCGGGAGGAACACCAAAGGCGAAGGCACUCUGCUGGGCCAAUACUAACACUGAGAGACGAAAGCGAGGGGAGCAAAUGGGAUUAGAUACCCGUGUAGUCC
rnacentral:rRNA from 1 species